GCUGAUGAUGAUUUAAUCCAACUUUAUGAGGUGCUGUGGAGCCAAGACCCUUUUUAAGGGAGAACCUACUUGGUGAAGCUUCAUUCAUAUGACAUCAUCGGAUUUUACUGAGGC
rfam:Phaseolus vulgaris cultivar G19833 chromosome 11, whole genome shotgun sequence.